AUUGAACGCUGGCGGCAGGCCUAACACAUGCAAGUCGAACGGUAACAGGAAACAGCUUGCUGUUUCGCUGACGAGUGGCGGACGGGUGAGUAAUGUCUGUGAAACUGCCUGAUGUCGGGGGAUAACUACUGGAAACGGUAGCUAAUACCGCAUAACGUCGCAAGACCAAAGAGGGGGACCCCCGGGCCUCUUGCCAUCGGAUGUGCCCAGAUGGGAUUAGCUUGUUGGUGGGGUAACGGCUCACCAAGGCGACGAUCCCUAGCUGGUCUGAGAGGAUGACCAGCCACACUGGAACUGAGACACGGUCCAGACUCCUACGGGAGGCAGCAGUGGGGAAUAUUGCACAAUGGGCGCAAGCCUGAUGCAGCCAUGCCGCGUGUAUGAAGAAGGCCUUCGGGUUGUAAAGUACUUUCAGCGGGGAGGAAGGGAGUAAAGUUAAUACCUUUGCUCAUUGACGUUACCCGCAGAAGAAGCACCGGCUAACUCCGUG
rnacentral:rRNA from 1 species